rnacentral:rRNA from 1 species
AGCGGCGGACGGGUGAGUAACGCGUGGGUAACCUGCCCUAUACACACGGAUAACAUACCGAAAGGUAUGCUAAUACGAGAUAAUAUAAGAGAUUCACAUGGAUUUCUUAUCAAAGCUGAGGCGGUAUAGGAUGGACCCGCGUCUGAUUAGCUAGUUGGUAAGGUAACGGCUUACCAAGGCGACGAUCAGUAGCCGACCUGAGAGGGUGAUCGGCCACAUUGGAACCGAGACACGGUCCAAACUCCUACGGGAGGCAGCAGUGGGGAAUAUUGCACAAUGGGCGAAAGCCUGAUGCAGCAACGCCGCGUGAGUGAUGAAGGCCUUCGGGUCGUAAAACUCUGUCCUCAAGGAAGAUAAUGACGGUACUUGAGGAGGAAGCCCCGGCUAACUACGUGCCAGCAGCCGCGGUAAUACGUAGGGGGCUAGCGUUAUCCGGAUUUACUGGGCGUAAAGGGUGCGUAGGUGGUCUCUUAAGUCAGGAGUGAAAGGCUACGGCUUAACCGUAGUAAGCUCUUGAAACUGGGAGACUUGAGUGCAGGAGAGGAAAGUGGAAUUCCUAGUGUAGCGGUGAAAUGCGUAGAUAUUAGGAGGAACACCAGUAGCGAAGGCGGCUUUCUGGACUGUAACUGACACUGAGGCACGAAAGCGUGGGGAGCAAACAGGAUUAGAUACCCUGGUAGUCCACGCCGUAAACGAUGAGUACUAGGUGU